rnacentral:rRNA from 1 species
GAUGAACGCUGGCGGCGUGCCUAAUACAUGCAAGUCGAGCGAACAGACGAGGAGCUUGCUCCUCUGACGUUAGCGGCGGACGGGUGAGUAACACGUGGAUAACCUACCUAUAAGACUGGGAUAACUUCGGGAAACCGGAGCUAAUACCGGAUAAUAUAUUGAACCGCAUGGUUCAAUAGUGAAAGACGGUUUUGCUGUCACUUAUCGAUGGAUCCGCGCCGCAUUAGCUAGUUGGUAAGGUAACGGCUUACCAAGGCGACGAUGCGUAGCCGACCUGAGAGGGGGAUCGGCCACACUGGAACUGAGACACGGUCCAGACGCCUACGGGAGGCAGCAGUAGGGAAUCGUCCGCAAUGGGCGAAAGCUUGACGGAGCAACGCCGCGUGAGUGAUGAAGGUCUUCGGAGCGUAAAACUCUGUUAUGAGUGAAGAACAAAUGUGUAAGUAACUAUGCACGUCUUGACGGUACCUAAUCAGAAAGCCACGGCUAACUACGUG